UGGCGCACGGGUGAGUAACACGUAGGUAACGUACCUUGUAUUAGGGGAUAACGGCGGGAAACUGCCGCUAAUACCGUAUAAGAUGCAGUUUGAAAUAAUUGCAUUUAAAGCUCCGGCGAUACGAGAUCGGCCUGCGGCGGAUUAGCUAGUUGGUAGGGUAAUGGCCUACCAAGGCAACGAUCCGUAGCUGGUCUGAGAGGAUGACCAGCCACAGUGGAACUGAGACACGGUCCAC
rnacentral:rRNA from 1 species